rnacentral:rRNA from 1 species
AGAGUUUGAUCAUGGCUCAGGAUGAACGCUAGCGGCAGGCUUAAUACAUGCAAGUCGAAUGUGGCAACACAUGGCGCACGGGUGCGUAACACGUAUGCAACCUACUCAGUACAGGAGGAUAACCAGCCGAAAGGUUGGAUAAUACUCCAUAACAUCACCGAAAAGCAUUUUUUGAUGAUUAAAGAUUUAUCGGUACUGAAUGGGCAUGCGUCCGAUUAGCUUGUUGGCGGGGUAACGGCCCACCAAGGCUUUGAUCGGUAGGGGAACUAAGAGGUUUAUCCCCCACACUGGUACUGAGAUACGGACCAGACUCCUACGGGAGGCAGCAGUAGGGAAUAUUGGUCAAUGGGGGCAACCCUGAACCAGCCAUGCCGCGUGCAGGAAGAAGGCGUUAUGCGUUGUAAACUGCUUUUGACAGGGAAUAAAAAGCUCAUGCGUGAGAAAUUGAAUGUACCUGUAGAAUAAGCCACGGCUAACUACGUGCCAGCAGCCGCGGUAAUUC